UACGUAUGGUGCAAGCGUUAUCCGGAUUUACUGGGUGUAAAGGGAGCGUAGGUGGUAUGGCAAGCCAGAAGUGAAAACCCGGGGCUCAACCCCGCGGAUUGCUUUUGGAACUGUUAAACUAGAGUGCUGGAGGGGUAAGCGGAAUUCCCAGUGUAGCGGUGAAAUGCGUAGAUAUUGGGAGGAACACCGGAGGCGAAGGCGGCUUACUGGACAGUAACUGACACUGAGGCUCGAAAGCGUGGGGAGCAAA
rnacentral:rRNA from 1 species